rnacentral:rRNA from 1 species
CGAAGGUCCCAAGCGUUAUCCGGAUUUAUUGGGUUUAAAGGGUGCGUAGGCGGGCUAUUAAGUCAGUGGUGAAAGCCCCAAGCUUAACUUGGGAACUGCCAUUGAUACUGAUGGUCUUGAGUACAUUUGAGGUGGGCGGAAUGUGUCAUGUAGCGGUGAAAUGCUUAGAUAUGACACAGAACACCGAUUGCGAAGGCAGCUCACUAAACUGUAACUGACGCUGAGGCACGAAAGCGUGGGGAGCAAACAGGAUUAGAUACCCUGGUAGUCCACGCCCUAAACGAUGAUCACUCGAUGUGUGCGAUAUACUGUACGCGUCUGAGCGAAAGCAUUAAGUGAUCCACCUGGGGAUACGACCGCAAGGUUG